rnacentral:rRNA from 1 species
AACGAACGCUGGCGGCAGGCUUAACACAUGCAGGUCGAACGCCCCGCAAGGGGAGUGGCAGACGGGUGAGUAACGCGUGGGAAUCUACCCAACUCUACGGAAUAACUCAGGGAAACUUGUGCUAAUACCGUAUACGCCCUUCGGGGGAAAGAUUUAUCGGAGUUGGAUGAGCCCGCGUUGGAUUAGCUAGUUGGUGGGGUAAAGGCCUACCAAGGCGACGAUCCAUAGCUGGUCUGAGAGGAUGAUCAGCCACAUUGGGACUGAGACACGGCCCAAACUCCUACGGGAGGCAGCAGUGGGGAAUAUUGGACAAUGGGCGCAAGCCUGAUCCAGCCAUGCCGCGUGAGUGAUGAAGGCCCUAGGGUUGUAAAGCUCUUUCACCGGUGAAGAUAAUGACGGUAACCGGAGAAGAAGCCCCGGCUAACUUCGUGCCAGCAGCCGCCGUAACAC